GAAAAGGUUGGUUGUGAGGGACAUCUGUUACCCCACUAACUACCAAGAUUGAUUUGGCUAAUCUUGCUGGCUAGGUGGUGUCCCCUUCCUCCCUCAGCACUCCAUGUGCAUCCUUCCUGAAGCUGCAGGCUUGGUUGAAGAAGACAGCUACACUCAAUAGGGGAGGACUGUUUGAUCAGCCAAGGAUACAAGUAGUUGUGCUCCAAACAAGCUAGAACCUCCAAACAAGCUCUCAAGGGAUUAUAGGCAUGCCCUACCGCAUGCAGUUUCAUGUGCCUGGGACUGGCAUGGCAU
rnacentral:snRNA from 1 species